CCUACGGGUGGCAGCAGUGAGGAAUAUUGGUCAAUGGGCGGGAGCCUGAACCAGCCAAGCCGCGUGAGGGAAGAAGGUCCAGCGUAUCGUAAACCUCUUUUGUCAGGGCACAAAAUCGGGGACUCGUCCCCGUAUGAGUGUACCUUAAGAAUAAGCAUCGGCUAACUCCGUGCCAGCAGCCGCGGUAAUACGGAGGAUGCGAGCUUUAUCCGGAUUUAUUGGGUUAAAAGGGUGCGCAGGCGGCCUGUUAAGUCAGCGGUAAAAGCCCGGGGUGAAACCCCGGCGAGCCGUUGAAACUGGCGGGCUGGAGUUGGAGAGAAGUACGCGGAAUGCGCGGUGUAGCGGGGAAAUGCUUAGAUAUCGCGCAGAACCCCGAUUGCGAAGGCAGCGUACCGGCUCCACACUGACGCUGAGGCACGAAAGCGUGGGUAUCGAACAGGAUUAGAUACCCUUGUAGUC
rnacentral:rRNA from 1 species